rnacentral:rRNA from 1 species
GUGGGGAAUUUUGGACAAUGGGCGAAAGCCUGAUCCAGCCAUGCCGCGUGCAGGAUGAAGGCCUUCGGGUUGUAAACUGCUUUUGUACGGAACGAAAAGACUCCUUCUAAUAAAGGGGGUCCAUGACGGUACCGUAAGAAUAAGCACCGGCUAACUACGUGCCAGCAGCCGCGGUAAUACGUAGGGUGCAAGCGUUAAUCGGAAUUACUGGGCGUAAAGCGUGCGCAGGCGGUUAUAUAAGACAGAUGUGAAAUCCCCGGGCUCAACCUGGGAACUGCAUUUGUGACUGCAUCGCUGGAGUGCGGCAGAGGGGGAUGGAAUUCCGCGUGUAGCAGUGAAAUGCGUAGAUAUGCGGAGGAACACCGAUGGCGAAGGCAAUCCCCUGGGCCUGCACUGACGCUCAUGCACGAAAGCGUGGGGAGCAAACAGGAUUAGAAACCCCAGUAGUCC